ensembl:lncRNA
GAGGGCUGAGGGCUGAGGGCCGAGCCCGGGAGGCGCCGCUCUCCCUUUUCCUCACAGAAAGAAAGAGAGGGAAAAGAGGAAGGGGAGGGCGCGCGGGGCAAGGAAGGGACGGGAGGCAGAGGCUGGGCCGUGCGGUUCGCGGGCGUGGAAAAACGUUGGCGUUGAGGGGGUGUCCGCCGCCGCCGCUCUCAACUGACCGUGGUGUGCGGGGAUGUGGCUAGCCUCUGGCUGCUGCUGUGAGGAGGCGUGAUUAGCCAGCUCGGCCCACACGGACAGGGCUCGCCUUGGGUGGGCUGGCCUGGCCUCUGACAGAGCCUCCCAUCGCCGGGGGAGUGGGGCCUCCAGCUGACCGACAGUGGGUGACGGGGUAAGGAGGCCGCUGAGAAGGGUGACCUGAACUUGGUGUCUUACUGACUGGAGCAGAGCCAGUUGGUCAGAGGUGACCUGACUUCUGACUGAGGUGGGGAAGAGACCCCGCUUGUUUGAUAGUGCAGGUAGAUCCAUCCAUAGGAUAAACCCCCACAAGUGGAAUUAUUGGAUCAGAUCUGUGUUUUUAUUGUUAUUUUGGCAAAUGGCGCCAAAUUAUCCUAAUUUGUACCAAUUUGAAGUUUCACCAACAACAUGUGUCUCAGAAAUUUAAACUGUCAGAUGUAAGAGUUACUGAGUUGCUAGUUGACUGAAAUGCCAAAAAGGCACACGGUAGAGCUAUGAGGUCUCAGAGUGCAUGUAUGCUCUUAUGCUGUGAACGAGCAGAAGUUAUAAGGAUAAAACUAUGUCCCCACAUCGGGAAAUGUUGGGCUAUGCCAAUGGAGGUGAUUACCUUGGUCCUGGUCUCACAGUGCUUAUACUUUAAGGAGAACAGAUUAAGGAAAUCCUGUGUCUUCCAGGUACAUCUAACAAUCUUCCACUGUUGAGGGAUCCAGAGGAGCUUCUUGAGAAAUGCCAGCCACCUGCUGAGCUGCAAAGGACUUACAAACACAGAGAAUUUAACAUAAUUCAAGGAGGAAGGGAAUACAGGAAGCUCUCAUCUUAGUGCCCUCUGUCCUUCCAGCCCUUUCCUCCUUAAUCCUGCCUAAAACUUGGGAAGCACAGAGUUGCUGACUGCAUUGUCUGGAGAAUUUCUGAAGACCACAUUGCCAACCAAGUGGGAUGAAUACUGGCCCUGGAGUUACUUUCCUUAACUGUAAAAUGAUCCUUUGUUUGGCAUGCUGGGAAAGCAUUCUGACUUUGAAGCCUGUGUGUCUUUAUCAACGUAUUGCUGUUCUCCAUUCAGAGCUAAGUUCUGAGUUAUUCUGUGCCUUGAGGUUGCUGGGGCAGAACCAGAGCACAAUGGAGGCUGAAGUUUCUCUCUGGCUCAGGCCACAGAAGAGCCAGCCACAUCAUUUGCCCUCAUGGUUCCUCAUCCUUAGAUGCUGCUUCAUUCCUUUUGGGAGCUUGGGGUUUAUCACGACUGGCUCUAGGAAUGUCCCUGAAAUUCUUUUUGUUGCUACAUCUGUGAGUGCUGGAUUUGUUUCCCAUACACUGUGGCCAGUGGCUUAGGGGAGUUUGUAUUCACUGCUGGAUGAGGUAUGCUAGAAUUUUCCGCUGGAACCAUGAGCCUCAUCCUUACCAGGGCACUGCCAUGAUUACCUCUCCAGGCUUAUCUGGAGGCAGAAACUUCUGCUGCCAUGUUGUGGAUGAAAGCUGGGGCACCGCCUCUGUUCACUGCUCCCAGGCUCUCUUACUUCCCUGUGUCCACGGCUCUGAGCUUGGAGAGCCCUGAGGUUGCUUUUACUCUUCAUUUUUGCUCUCUCCUCUGAAUAUUUUGGGUAAUGAUUUUUCUUCAACCUGACGACAUCUGGCUUCCAAGUCUGGCUAAUCGAAGACAUCAUGGCUUGAACCUCUGUCUUGAAUUACUCACUGUGGGAGAAAGCAGCUCUGAGUGGGUCAUCUUGAUGAGAGGUCCUUCAGCCCCAUCAGCCAUUCCGAUGACCACAGCCUUGGUUGGAAUCUUCAGCCCCUUCAGCCAUUCUGAAAACUGAAGUCUUGGCUGUCUCUUGUGAGAGACUCAGUCAAAACCACCCAACUCCUGGACUUUAAAAAUUACACGACAUAAUAACUAUUGUUCUAAGUUGUUAAAAGAUUAAUAUUUGAUACAAUAUUAGCUUUUGGGAAUUUUCCAGGUGAAAUUCCAUUACCAUGCCUUCAAAAUUGUCUUUUUCUUGUUGUUACUUCAGCCUAAAUCUCUUUGAAGAGAAUUAUGAAGAACCAGCCAAGGUCACCAUACCACUAUGACUAAUUUUAGGUGGUUUAGA